AUCGAGUGUAGUCUUCACAGCUUCAGCUAGUACAAGUUUCAUUAAAAUUUGAUGACAUAAUUCUUGAUUGACUAAUUGAUAGCUUCAAUAUCUAGGCCGGAUCAAUUAUAGACCUUAGUUUUAUGUUAAUUUUUUCUUUGUGUAGUCUAG
rnacentral:lncRNA from 1 species